rnacentral:rRNA from 1 species
GAUGAACGCUGGCGGCGUGCCUAAUACAUGCAAGUCGAGCGAAUGGAUUAAGAGCUUGCUCUUAUGAAGUUAGCGGCGGACGGGUGAGUAACACGUGGGUAACCUGCCCAUAAGACUGGGAUAACUCCGGGAAACCGGGGCUAAUACCGGAUAACAUUUUGAACCGCAUGGUUCGAAAUUGAAAGGCGGCUUCGGCUGUCACUUAUGGAUGGACCCGCGUCGCAUUAGCUAGUUGGUGAGGUAACGGCUCACCAAGGCAACGAUGCGUAGCCGACCGGGGAGGGUGCUCGGCCACACUGGGACUGAGACACGGCCCAGACUCCUACGGGAGGCAGCAGUAGGGAAUCUUCCGCAAUGGACGAAAGUCUGACGGAGCAACGCCGCGUGAGUGAUGAAGGCUUUCGGGUCGUAAAACUCUGUUGUUAGGGAAGAACAAGUGCUAGUUGAAUAAGCUGGCACCUUGACGGUACCUAACCAGAAAGCCACGGCUAACUACGUGCCAGCAGCCGCCGCCG